CCCCUUCUCAGUCCUCACACGUUCUCUUCCUCUCUCUCUCUCUCACUCUUUCUCUCCUCUCCCUCUCUUUCUCUUCCUCUCUCGGCGCCCCCGUCGCUCGGGCUGCCCUCCGCGCGCGGCCGCUCCUCCCCGGUGGUGGUGGCGGCGGCGGCGGCGACCCCGACGACGACGACGCCGACCCCGACGACGGCGACGACGAGUGGGCGACGAUGACGACGACGCGGGUGGUGCCGGCGGCGGAUGGCGACCUCGGGCAGGAGCGGCGAUGGCGUCGGCGGGCGGCGGAUCCGGCGGCGCCGCCCUCGGGAGGGCCGGAUCCGCCGCCAUAGGGAGCGGCUACGGCGGCGACGGGCGGCGGCUCGGCGACCUCGGCUCGGCGGCCCGCCAUCCCCUCCUCACCGCUGCUGACAACGACGAUGAUAAGGCGACCCUCCCCCCUCCUCAACACCGCGGCGGCGGGGCGGCUCGGCCGCCCCGCGCGGAUCCGGUGCCGCCGACGAUAAGAAAUGUGUGAUGUGCAGGUGGAGAUAAUCAGAGGAAUAUGACAAAUUAUGUUAGGGUUUUAGUAACUGGGUGGUGAGAUCUGAAGAAGGUAGUAACUGGGUGGUGAAAACUAUUCCUUUUUUUCCAAGGUUAGCACGCACAAUGAUCUAGCUAUCUAUAUAAACAAUAGUCUCAGCACUUCUGUUUAAAUUACAACUUUUUGGUCUUGUAUAAUUACAUGUGCUCACCUUUUAUGACAAAGGUGAUUCUUAUUCUCUUUGGGAUGUUAGCUUUUACAUAGAAGGGUACUUUUAAGUUCUGAUAUAAAUAACUUAUGUGUUGGGUACUUGUAGCUGCAUUUUGUUAGUGUGAUCAGAUAUAUAGGGCUGGAAGUGCUUUGUGUAGCAUCAUGACCUUAAUGAUGACUACAGAACAUUAGUUAAAUCUUUCACACAUCCCAGAAAUCUUCCUAGCACAUAUCCAAUAUAAUAAUAGAGCAUAAAAAAUUAGCCAUGGUUUCAUGUUUGGGUUCUACUGAAAUCAGAUCCAUGUAACUACCCUGUAAUCUGAACCGAAAACAUACCCAAUAGUAGCUUCAUAAUAUGUGUUCACCAUAUAUGAUUUUUUUUAUCAUCCACACUUUACUGUUACAAUGGCUGAAAAUCUGUCGAUAAAGCACUACGUACACAUCCAAUUGAGUUUGCAAUUCAGUUUGUUUUGUCGUAGAGGGAAGGGGGAGGGGUUCUGCUUGCAGUAGGCUUACAUUACUAUGCAUAUGUCUCACAUGUCUUGGCAUGUAUAACUCUAUUGUUUUGAUUUGCUAUGCCUAUGUUCUCUUUCUAUUUAGGUACUUACUAGUACUAUAUGUUCAAUUUGCAAUGCCUAUGCCUAUGCCUGUGCCUCAAUUUGCAAUGCAGGGGUUCAAAGCUUUGUAUGGCCACAUGCGGGGGUUCAAAGUUUUGUAUGGUUGUGGUUACAAAUACUGUGCUACUAAUGUUUGCUUUUCUAUAGGACAAGUGUGAAAGAAACUUAACCAUGAGAAUGUUCCAUACUAUUCUACUGUUCCAUGUUCCUUUUAACUGUGAAACACAGCAAAGGACAGGAUCUCAUUGACAUGCCAUGAGGUAAGGUUUGUUGUCUUGCUGAUUCAUGAAGAGAUGGCAGUAUGUUGGUGUGAUUUCGAUACGUGACAUUGUGUUUGGUAAGUGAACCUAUGAUUGUAUUUGGACAUGGUUGGGUCGGCCCAUGUGGACAUGUGACUUUGUUUUGGUCAGUGACUUAUGGCUGGAUAUGCAUGGUCAAUGUACUGAUGUAUUUUGUUUUGGCAAGUUACCUUGUAAUCUAUUUUUUUAUCAAACUUGUGAUUGUAUUUGAAUAUGUGAAUGGGUCGGCCCAUAUGUAUUUGCAAUGUAUCAUAUGUGAACUGAAUUUUAUUGGAUUUUAACUGGGCUACAAUCUUUGUGCUA